CUGGGAGAAAGGAGGCAGAGUUAGGAGAAGCCAUGGAUCCUUUGCCUGAGACAGACACCAGUUAGAAUCUUUGCUGGAUCCCUAUCCAUGGACUGGUGUCAUCCCCGUUUAGGCUUCUAGGCUCCUACCGGCUGGUGAGUCAGGAGGAGCGGCCAGCUGCUACACAGGUGUUUCCAGCGGCAUCCUCCCUGCCAUGCGUACGGGGCUUUGUGAGAUCCAAAGGGAUUGCAUUUCUCCCGUACCAUCUAGCAUGACCCUACCAUGACCUUUCAGAAGCCAUGUUGGUGUUGCCAUUCCUAUGCUACAGGAGACCAAGAGGUUCUCAGAAGAGCUGUGUCAUGACGUUCCUUGUCUGACAUCUUUUAAUGGUUCUUACCUACAGCAUCAAGUUUCCUUGGCAGGAAAACUAAGCGGCCGACUGCUUCAGUCUCUCAAUUAUUAAAUCUCUCCUUCGCUGUAAAGCCCUGAGAGGUACAGUUGGAAGCUUGAACUCGUGGUUAUGGUCCCUAGAAUUCUUCAUGUAAGCCACAGAAUAUGGAUCUCAUGGUGCCAGGUUAACUGGGCUACUCCCCUUCUGAUGGCUUCCUCCCUUGUUCAGUAGUCAGCCACCCUGGCCUCUGGUCUCAACUGUUAAAUGAAGGAAAGUGCACAGUCAAAUGCACAGCCUUAGCUGAUGCUUUUACAAAAAAAAAAUUGUAGGGCUAGGGAUAUAACUCAGUAGUACAGUGCUUGCCCUGGGAGUGGGGGAGAAAGAAACAAAAUACUUUGGUAGACUUGUUUAAUGGGAGAAGAUCCCGCUCCCUUUUAGCAGAAGAAAAUGUUCAUUGCAUAAAAUAAUACAAAAUGCACAAAAUCAACUGGGAAAAAACUAUCCAUAAUCC